rnacentral:rRNA from 1 species
UACGUAGGGAGCAAGCGUUGUUCGGAAUCACUGGGCGUAAAGGGAGCGUAGGCGGAAAGGUCUGUUAGGAGUGAAAGACUCAGGCUCAACCUGGGGAACGCUCUUAAUACUGCCUUUCUUGAGUAUGGGAGAGGGAAACGGAAUUCCAGGUGUAGCGGUGGAAUGCGUAGAUAUCUGGAAGAACACCAGUUGCGAAGGCGGUUUCCUGGCCCAAUACUGACGCUGAGGCUCGAAAGCUAGGGGAG